AGCUUUUCGAAUCUAUGCAGAGAUUUCGUCAGAAACCAACACAUUAGUGCUGGUCAGACUUCCAAGAUAAGUAAAGUU
rnacentral:pre_miRNA from 1 species